AUUGAACGCUGGCGGCAGGCCUAACACAUGCAAGUCGAGCGGAGCGGCGGACGGGCGAGUAAUGCCUAGGAAUCUGCCUGGUAGUGGGGGAUAACGUACGGAAACGGGCGCUAAUACAGCAUACUAUCAGAUGAGCCUACGUCGGAUUAGCUAGUUGGUGGGGUAAAGGCCUACCAGGGCGACGAUCCGUAGCUGGCCUGAGAGGAUGAUCAGUCACACUGGAACUGCUACACGGUCCAGACUCCUACGGGAGGCAGCAGUGGGGAAUAUUGGGCAAUGGGCGAAAUCCUGAUCCAGCCAUGCCGCGUGUGUGAAGAAGGUCUUCGGAUUGUAAAGCACUUUAAGUUGGGAGGCGUUACCAACAGAAUAAGCACCGGCUAACUUCGUGCCAGCAGCCGCGGUAAUAC
rnacentral:rRNA from 1 species